rnacentral:misc_RNA from 1 species
GAGACAAGCAUAUGACUACUGGCAGGAUCAACCAGGUAGCAUUCCUUCGGGACGCCGACACCCGCAUGAGCCCCGCCGAGCCGUGAGGCCGCGGGCCCAAGGACGGGUGCAGCAGUCGUUCGUCUCGUUGGACAAAAUGCGUUUGCCGGAUCGGAUGGAGUGCCUCCGACGAGCCACCCACCCGUAGCACAUAACGUUCCGAAUCCGAGAGCACGGGCAAAGAGCCUCAUGCGCCAAGGCAGCCGUGCGACUGGGCUAGGCGUGCCCGGAACACGAGGCUUGCCUGACGUCCGACCCACCACCCGUGAGGGCGUGGGACGGAGAGAAACAAACGAGCCAUCGAAUUCCUUCCGAUAGGUAAGCAACACAGGAUACCGAA